rnacentral:lncRNA from 1 species
UCCAGUUGAAACAAACUUGCAACAAAUCCUGUGGAGAGUUUCAUUCAACAGGAUGAGCUAACCAAGAAAACAGUCACUUCUGGCUAGUUCCAUCAAAAUUAGCAGCAGCUGUGAACUCUGUAAACAGUUCUGUUUUCUGGUUGUCAAAGAGCUGCUAAAGCAGAUGUGAAACUCAUCAAAAAUAGGUCACAGGAAUACAGAACAUGAAAGGGAAUGCAUCAAUAUCAGAGGGAUCUGAAAAUGAGUAAUGCUGGAAUAUCUCAGCAGUGUUUGUAAGAGCAAAAGGUAUCUCACAGAACUGCAUCUGACAUUAGACUGACUUCAUGUGAUUCAUACAAUAAGACUUUCUGUGUACUGCACACUCUGCAUGACUAUGGGUGUGGUGCUUUUUGGAAAUGAAGUAUCAACAUUUAAGAAAAAGGCUAAGAAUGACAUGCCUCCGAAAGCAGCUGCUUCCAUCUUUCAGAAAGGACAAGACAUCACAUUACUUAGCAGUGGAUUUAUCAAUAAACAAAUGCACUUACUGGAAUGGAAAAGGCAGGAGUCAUCAGAAAUUCUUGAGGAGCUUAAAAUGCAGGGAAUCAUCAAGGGCCAAAGCACACCUUUUGGAAACCAAGAAGCACCUGAUAACAAGAGAGAAGCCCUACUAAGAAAACCACCAGCCAGGCUGGAAAAGCUUGAUAUCAAAAGAAAAGAAGUGAAUGAUCUGACCCUGGAGGACAUUCAGAAUUCUGCUGAAGAGAAAGAAAAGACUGCAGAACAACUGAACCAAAGACUACAGAGUAAGACAUUUUCUCCAGCAACUGCUCACCAAAACGUAGCUCAGCUAAAUGAAUCCUGUUAUUUAACUGCAGAAGGUGGAAAAGGGACUGACACUAGUCAGCUUUUAUCAUUAGAUCCAGAGGAGGAAGAAUCUGCAGUUGAAACUGUAAAUGGCAAUUUUGAAGACUUUGCUGUUGUAGAGUCAGAUACAACUUAUAACUGUUCAAUUGAAGCAUUCUAA